UGCAGGCAAAUAACGUCGAGUUGCUUGCAAUUGGUUCAAGAUAUGAGUGAGAGACGUCGGAUAUUGGUGUUUGCUUAUUAAUGGAAUUGUUUGAAUUACGCAGCAUAAAGAAGAACAAUUAUGAGGAGUUAAUUGUGGACAUAAUCAAGAGAGGUCUUGUUUUGGAUCACAGCAAAUCACCAUGUGAGGAGAACUUCAUACCAGACAAAAAAGGUGAAAUCAUAAUAAUGUUCAUCAAAAUGGAAGAAUCAAAAGACUUUGUAAUGUGGCUGCAAGUAGGUUCAGACAUGCUGUGCUGUUGGUAGAGAGAGCUAACCCUCCUCUCUCUUUCUUCUGCCACCAAACACGUCCUCCUCUUCCUGCUUCCUUUUCCACCCUGCCUCCUCCACCCCAUAUUUCCUCCUCAUUCACUUCCAACCUUCCCAUUCUCCUUCUGACUUCUACCAUGUCAUGCUCUUCCUCAUGCCACUUCUCCAUACCUCUUCUUUCUCCUGCUUCCACCAACCUCCUCCUCUUCACCCUACCUCGUCUGAUGAGUAAAGGUCAUAACGUUCCUCUAGAGAGCAGCACCUCAUAGUGCUUACUUAUCCUACCAUAUUUAGUACCCUAAUACAUAUGUACUGUAUAUUUGCAGUACAUUCAAGUUAUUGAAAUUAGGUAUUUGCAACAAAGCAGAACAUAGUGAGCGUGUGUAGAAGUUCGAGGUUAUCACAAGAGUAUGUGGAGACUGCACAUGAAGGGCGGUGAAAUGCUUGUCACUGGAGUGCCAGACUUGGAGUAUUCAUAAAAAAUUCAAACCAUCAAAUGUCAGUCCAAUUUAUUUGGAACCUCAUCAAGAGAAGACUAUGUCAGGUAGAAGAAGGUAACAGCAUUUAGAAGAUUCUUGGAACUCACAUUGCCAUGAAGAUGAGCCAUCUGUGACACAGAGAUCUUAAUUUGAAGAUAGGACAUUAUUUUACGGCUUUACCAUCUUGCCUGUGCCAAUUCGUUAUGAGAAACUGUAAAGAACUGUUCUUCUUAAGAUGCCAAAACUGUGUGCUGAUUUCUGCACUUCCUGAUGUGUACAUUGUGAAUGUGUACCAGAAUGAAAAUAAUAUUGUAGAUCCAUAGAAAGAAGUAGGUAUACCAUCUGAGCUGGAGUUACAAAUUUACAAGUACAGUAAAUUCCUGUUUGUCUGGUAUCCAGGCAUCUAGGAUUUUCAUUCAGCUGGCAAAUAUUUCUAAGAAAAUUAUAAAGUCAUUAAAAAAAUUA